GUUCUAAUUUCCAUGGAGACGCAUGAACCUUGUCAUGUGACAUUUCAGUCAAAAUGGCGCGCACACGAUGGAUAACCGUCUGCAGAACAGCCGCGUGACAAUCCGUGCAUCUCCCCCAGAAACGCCGCGUGACAAUCGGCUUAAUAAUGCUUCAGUGUGUGGUACUCCUCAAAACACGGGACAGCACACAAGGGAGUGUUGCAUGGCACACACAUGUGCUUGGUGAGGCGCCUCUGCUUGCCCUUGCGUGUGCUGGAGAGGCAGACCUUGCAGUGCCGCCUGGUCUUGCUGCCCUGGGAAGUGGUCUGAGGGACUUCAGAUGGGAAAUGCCUGGCUGUAAGGCGCAGAGGAGUGUCCAAGGCAGGACGCCCGCCUUUGGUUGGACCUCGCAAUGUGCUGUACUCCUCCAGCAGCCCUCUCAUCAGGUUCGUCCUGAAUUGUAGGGAGGUGAUUUCCUUUCCUACUCAUAGUAGAGCACAUCAAUAGGAAGUGAGGAGAAAAUAUUAGUAUGUGACAGUGUGGUCUGUUUAUUAUUGUGAAUUUGUUAACACUUUAAAUUACAUUAAUUAAAAAUGUUAGCACUUUUUAUCUCGUUUAUAUUUAUUUGUAUCCAUUUCUCACCAGUAAUUUGCCGGUAGACGAUGUGGCUGUUGAGUAAAACCGUGUCGAGUACAUGAAAAAAUACUUUCUUGUACCACUUGGUAGACUUUCUGGUGCAUUCAUGAAAACCAGUCAUCAUAUCAGCUUUGUCAACUGCACCCAUCUUUUUGUUGUACUCCAGCACACAGACUGGCUUCAUCAUUGGUUGCCCAGUGAGGUGAUCCAGCUUGCCUGUGGCUGCCAUACCAGUUGGAUGGACUGUGGUGAACUUUGGCAUCCCUUUUCUGUGUCCGUGCACGGUCCCACAAGCUCCAGUGCCAAGUGACAAGAGGUGCUGGAAAAGUAUGGGACUACUGUACCAGUUGUCAACAUAUAGAACAUGACAUUUGCUUAAGUAAGGGUGCUAAGAGUGUCAUCACAACGGACCCAGAAAUCCCAAGUCCUGGAUGGAAUGAACUGACGAAAUGCCAGCCUGCCUUUCCACUUCAUCAGAGACUCAUCCACACACAGAUCCCUGUAUGGCACAAAAAUGCGACGAAAAGAGGAGGAACUGGUGUCAUCUCUUCGUCUUCAAAGUUGUCCAGAGCUUCAAGAUUUGGGGGAAGAUCCUCAUCACUGUCACUCUCUGCCUCGCUGUCAAACAUCUCCUCAUCAGAAUU